rnacentral:rRNA from 1 species
UCGAGGGGUAUAGUUCUUCGGGAUUAGAGACCGGCGCACGGGUGCGUAACGCGUAUGCAAUCUACCUUUCACAGAGGGAUAGCCCAGAGAAAUUUGGAUUAAUACCUCAUAGUAUAGUGAUACCGCAUGGUACUACUAUUAAAGUCACAACGGUGAAAGAUGAGCAUGCGUCCCAUUAGCUAGUUGGUAAGGUAACGGCUUACCAAGGCAACGAUGGGUAGGGGUCCUGAGAGGGAGAUCCCCCACACUGGUACUGAGACACGGACCAGACUCCUACGGGAGGCAGCAGUGAGGAAUAUUGGUCAAUGGGCGCAAGCCUGAACCAGCCAUGCCGCGUGCAGGAUGACGGUCCUAUGGAUUGUAAACUGCUUUUGUACGGGAAGAAACAACUCUACGUGUAGAGUCUUGACGGUACCGUAAGAAUAAGGAUCGGCUAACUCCGUGCCAGCAGCCGCGGUAAUACGGAGGAUCCAAGCGUUAUCCGGAAUCAUUGGGUUUAAAGGGUCCGUAGGCGGUUUGGUAAGUCAGUGGUGAAAGCCCAUCGCUCAACGGUGGAACGGCCAUUGAUACUGCCAGACUUGAAUUAUUAGGAAGUAACUAGAAUAUGUAGUGUAGCGGUGAAAUGCUUAGAGAUUACAUGGAAUACCAAUUGCGAAGGCAGGUUACUACUAAUGGAUUGACGCUGAUGGA